rnacentral:rRNA from 1 species
GUGGGGAAUAUUGGACAAUGGGCGCAAGCCUGAUCCAGCCAUGCCGCGUGAGUGAAGAAGGCCCUAGGGUUGUAAAGCUCUUUCAGCAGGGAAGAUGAUGACGGUACCUGCAGAAGAAGCCCCGGCUAACUCCGUGCCAGCAGCCGCGGUAAUACGGAGGGGGCUAGCGUUGUUCGGAAUUACUGGGCGUAAAGGGCAUGUAGGCGGAUCGGCCAGUCAGAGGUGAAAGCCCUGGGCUCAACCCAGGAACUGCCUUUGAUACUGCCGAUCUAGAGUCCGGGAGAGGAUAGUGGAAUUCCCAGUGUAGAGGUGAAAUUCGUAGAUAUUGGGAAGAACACCAGUGGCGAAGGCGGCUAUCUGGACCGGUACUGACGCUAAGGUGCGAAAGCGUGGGGAGCAAACAGGAUUAGAAACCCGAGUAGUCC